rnacentral:rRNA from 1 species
AGUGAACGCUGGCGGUAGGCCUAACACAUGCAAGUCGAACGGCAGCACAGUAAGAGCUUGCUCUUACGGGUGGCGAGUGGCGGACGGUGAGGAAGACAUCGGAAUCUACUUUUUCGUGGGGGAUAACGUAGGGAAACUUACGCUAAUACCGCAUACGACCUACGGGUGAAAGCAGGGGAUCUUCGGACCUUGCGCGAUUGAAUGAGCCGAUGUCGGAUUAGCUAGUUGGCGGGGUAAAGGCCCACCAAGGCGACGAUCCGUAGCUGGUCUGAGAGGAUGAUCAGCCACACUGGAACUGAGACACGGUCCAGACUCCUACGGGAGGCAGCAGUGGGGAAUAUUGGACAAUGGGCGCAAGCCUGAUCCAGCCAUACCGCGUGGGUGAAGAAGGCCUUCGGGUUGUAAAGCCCUUUUGUUGGGAAAGAAAAGCAGCAGGUUAAUACCCCGCUGUUCUGACGGUACCCAAAGAAUAAGCACCGGCUAACUUCGUG